rnacentral:tRNA from 1 species
AGAAAGUUGGCAGAAAAAUGCAUAUGGCUUAGAACCAUAAGAUAGAGUAAUUCUCUACUUUCUA